GCAGCUUGCGGUGAUGAGGCUCACCGGAGACCCAAACCGCCCAUCAGGGCUGAUAGCCUCUGUCGUUUC
rnacentral:ncRNA from 1 species